rnacentral:lncRNA from 1 species
GCGGACCUUCUUGCCAGUCUCCAGGACCUUGUGGCCAACCCGGCUGCGGACACCCUUCUCCUUCGAGUAGAGCAUCACGUUGCUGUGGUGAAUAGGGAACUCCAGAGUCUUGAUUUGCCCAGUCUCGUUCUCCAUCUUGGGCUUCAGGUGCUUCUGGCCCUGGUUGACACCCUCCACCACCACCUUGCCCUUCUUGGCGAGCACCUUGAUAAUGGUGCCCACCUUGCCCUUGUCCUUGCCGGCAAUAAUCUGAACGGUAUCACCCUUCUUCACGUGCAUAGGCACGCGCAGCGCCUUGCCACCGGGGCCCAGCUCAAGGUGCUCCCACUUGCGGCCACCACCAAUCUUGGGCAGGUCGCCAUAAGCGGCCACGGGGGCGCAGACCGUGGUGCGAGAGGAAAUAGGCGCACGGGGCGCGACCGAGCGGCCCAGAGUGGCGCCGGAGAACGCAGAAGUGCGGGCACUG